AUGAACGCUAGCGACAGGCUUAACACAUGCAAGUCGAGGGGCAGCACAGGUAGCAAUACCGGGUGGCGACCGGCGCACGGGUGAGUAACGCGUAUGCAACUUGCCUAUCAGAGGGGGAUAACCCGGCGAAAGUCGGACUAAUACCGCAUGAAGCAGGGGCCCCGCAUGGGGAUAUUUGCUAAAGAUUCAUCGCUGAUAGAUAGGCAUGCGUUCCAUUAGGCAGUUGGCGGGGUAACGGCCCACCAAACCGACGAUGGAUAGGGGUUCUGAGAGGAAGGUCCCCCACAUUGGUACUGAGACACGGACCAAACUCCUACGGGAGGCAGCAGUGAGGAAUAUUGGUCAAUGGGCGUAAGCCUGAACCAGCCAAGUCGCGUGAGGGAUGAAGGUUCUAUGGAUCGUAAACCUCUUUUAUAAGGGAAUAAAGUGCGGGACGUGUCCCGUUUUGUAUGUACCUUAUGAAUAAGGAUCGGCUAACUCCGUGCCAGCAGCCGCGGUAAUACGGAGGAUCCGAGCGUUAUCCGGAUUUAUUGGGUUUAAAGGGUGCGUAGGCGGCCUUUUAAGUCAGCGGUGAAAGUCUGUGGCUCAACCAUAGAAUUGCCGUUGAAACUGGGGGGCUUGAGUAUGUUUGAGGCAGGCGGAAUGCGUGGUGUAGCGGUGAAAUGCAUAGAUAUCACGCAGGACCCCGAUUGCGAAGGCAGCCUGCCAAGCCAUUACUGACGCUGAUGCACGAAAGCGUGGGGAUCAAACAGGAUUAGAUACCCUGGUAGUCCACGCAGUAAACGAUGAUCACUAGCUGUUUGCGAUACACUGUAAGCGGCACAGCGAAAGCGUUAAGUGAUCCACCUGGGGAGUACGCCGGCAACGGUGAAACUCAAAGGAAUUGACGGGGGCCCGCACAAGCGGAGGAACAUGUGGUUUAAUUCGAUGAUACGCGAGGAACCUUACCCGGGUUUGAACGCAUUCGGACCGAGGUGGAAACACCUUUUCUAGCAAUAGCCGUUUGCGAGGUGCUGCAUGGUUGUCGUCAGCUCGUGCCGUGAGGUGUCGGCUUAAGUGCCAUAACGAGCGCAACCCUUGCCACUAGUUACUAACAGGUGAUGCUGAGGACUCUGGUGGGACUGCCAGCGUAAGCUGCGAGGAAGGCGGGGAUGACGUCAAAUCAGCACGGCCCUUACAUCCGGGGCGACACACGUGUUACAAUGGCGUGGACAAAGGGAGGCCACCUGGCGACAGGGAGCGAAUCCCCAAACCACGUCUCAGUUCGGAUCGGAGUCUGCAACCCGACUCCGUGAAGCUGGAUUCGCUAGUAAUCGCGCAUCAGCCAUGGCGCGGUGAAUACGUUCCCGGGCCUUGUACACACCGCCCGUCAAGCCAUGGGAGCCGGGGGUACCUGAAGUCCGUAACCGAAAGGAUCGGCCUAGGGUAAAACUGGUGACUGGGGCU
rnacentral:rRNA from 1 species